UACGUAGGCAGCGAGCGUUUGUUCGGAGUUACUGGGCGUAAAGAGUGCGUAGGCGGUUUUCUAAGUUUGGUGUGAAAUCUCCCGGCUCAACUGGGAGGGUGCGCCGAAUACUGAAUGACUUGGAGUGCGGGAGAGGAAAGUGGAAUUCCUGGUGUAGCGGUGAAAUGCGUAGAUAUCAGGAGGAACACCGGUGGUGUAGACGGCUUUCUGGACCGUAACUGACGCUGAGACACGAAAGCGUGGGUAGCAAACAGG
rnacentral:rRNA from 1 species